ACAGAGUAAGACGGAGACAAUAGAGAGGCAGAAGUCAAAGCUUGAUAAGAGCGAGCAUCUGCUGGAAGAUAUUAAGGCCGAGGUUCAGUUACAUAAGGACAAGGUUUUGGAGUACCGUGACCAGGUCCAGCACAGUCAGUUUGACACCAAGGCCAAGGAGCAGCUGCUAGAGGACAUGAGAGAAUCUCUCAGACGCACCCAAGAGGACUUGAACGAGAGUCGUGACAGAGUUAGAGAACUUGAAAAGGCAUUGGAGGAGAGGCUGUGGGAGCUCCACCAGAGGGCAGCACAAGUAUCUAAACUGGAGACCACAAUGAGAGAAUACCAGGAGAGAGUGGAGCAAAAGUCAGAAGUGCAGAGGCGGGAGUUACAGUAUGUCCAAGACAAUCUGCAGG